UACGUAGGCAGCAAGCGUUGUUCGGAAUUACUGGGCGUAAAGAGUGUGUAGGCGGUGUUCUAAGUCUGUUGUGAAAUCUCCCGGCUUAACCGGGAGGGUGCGGCGGAAACUGGAAUGCUUGAGGGUGGGAGAGGUAAGCGGAAUUCCUGGUGUAGCGGUGAAAUGCGUAGAUAUCAGGAGGAACACCUGUGGUGUAGACAGCUUACUGGACCACUUCUGACGCUGAGACACGAAAGCGUGGGUAGCAAACGGG
rnacentral:rRNA from 1 species